rnacentral:rRNA from 1 species
AACGAACGCUGGCGGCGCGCCUAACACAUGCAAGUCGAACGCGAGGUUGUAGCAAUACAAUAGUAGAGUGGCGCACGGGUGAGGAACACGUAGGUAAUCUACCUUAGUGACUAGGAUAACCAGUCGAAAGAUUGGCUAAUACGAGAUAGAGCGUAAUGAGCGUAGAGCGAGUUACGGGAAAGGGCGGCCUUAGCAAUAGGGCUGUCGCACAAAGAGGAGCCUGCGUCCCAUUAGCUAGUUGGUAGGGUAAAGGCCUACCAAGGCGAUGAUGGGUAGCUGGUCUGAGAGGACGAUCAGCCACACUGGAACUGAAACACGGUCCAGACUCCUACGGGAGGCAGCAGUGGGGAAUCUUGCGCAAUGGGGGGAAACCCUGACGCAGCGACGCCGCGUGGGUGAAGAA